rnacentral:rRNA from 1 species
AGAGUUUGAUCCUGGCUCAGAACGAACGCUGGCGGCGUGCUUAACACAUGCAAGUCGAACGCGAAAAGGGACUUCGGUCCUGAGUAAAAGUGGCGCAUGGGUGAGUAACGCGUGGAUAAUCUACCCAAUGAUCUGGGAUAACAUCUCGAAAGGGGUGCUAAUACCGGAUAAGACCACGGAGUCUCUGGAUUCUGCGGUAAAAGGUGGGGACCUUCGGGCCUACCGUCAUCGGAUGAGUCCGCGUACCAUUAGCUAGUUGGUGGGGUAAUGGCCUACCAAGGCUACGAUGGUUAGCUGGUCUGAGAGGAUGAUCAGCCACACUGGAACUGAGACACGGUCCAGACUCCUACGGGAGGCAGCAGUGGGGAAUUUUGCGCAAUGGGGGAAACCCUGACGCAGCAACGCCGCGUGAGGGAUGAAGGUUUUCGGAUCGUAAACCUCUGUUGUACGGGGAAGAAGAAGUGACGGUACCGUACGAGGAAGCCCGGCAAACUACGUGCCAGCAGCCGCGGUAAUA